rnacentral:lncRNA from 1 species
GGAAAAGCUUCACUCUGACCAUCACUGUCUUCACAAACCCACCGCAAGUCGCCACCUACCACAGAGCCAUCAAAAUCACAGUGGAUGGGCCCCGAGAACCUCGAAACUCUUUGACCUGGCCUCGGUAUCCUCACAUUUAAAAUGAGGAGUUGGCUUAUAUGAUUGGCUGGCAUAUUUGGCUCAUCUCGAAGACUGUCUAUUAUAGAAGGGCAAAUGGUAGUGCCUCAUUGCAGGUGUGGAGCCUUUGACUUGAGGUAUGCGUGC